UACGUAGGGUGCGAGCGUUGUCCGGAAUUAUUGGGCGUAAAGAGCUCGUAGGCGGUGUGUCGCGUCGGCCGUGAAAACCUGGGGCUUAACUCUGGGCGUGCGGUCGAUACGGGCAUCACUGGAGUUCGGCAGGGGAGACUGGAAUUCCUGGUGUAGCGGUGAAAUGCGCAGAUAUCAGGAGGAACACCGGUGGCGAAGGCGGGUCUCUGGGCCGAUGACUGACGUGAGGAGCGAAAGCAUGGGUAGCGAACAG
rnacentral:rRNA from 1 species